rnacentral:tRNA from 1 species
GCGGAAGUGGCGGAACUGGUAGACGCGCUAGCCUCAGGAGUUAGUGGUUAACAGCCAUGGGGGUUCAAGUCCCCCCUUCCGCA